rnacentral:rRNA from 1 species
CCUACGGGAGGCAGCAGUGAGGAAUAUUGGACAAUGGGCGCAAGCCUGAUCCAGCCAUGCCGCGUGCAGGAAGAAGCAUCUAUGGUGUGUAAACUGCUUUUGUACAGGAAGAAACACUCCCUCGUGAGGGAGCUUGACGGUACUGUAAGAAUAAGGACCGGCUAACUCCGUGCCAGCAGCCGCGGUAAUACGGAGGGUCCGAGCGUUAUCCGGAAUCAUUGGGUUUAAAGGGUCCGUAGGCGGUUUAAUAAGUCAGUGGUGAAAUCUGGUCGCUCAACGAUCAAACGGCCAUUGAUACUGUUAGACUUGAAUUAUAAGGAAGUAACUAGAAUAUGUAGUGUAGCGGUGAAAUGCUUAGAUAUUACAUGGAAUACCAAUUGCGAAGGCAGGUUACUACUUAUGGAUUGACGCUGAUGGACGAAAGCGUGGGGAGCGAACAGGAUUAGAUACCCUGGUAGUCCACGCCGUAAACGAUGGAUACUAGCUGUUCGGAGCAAUNUGAGUGNGUAGACGAAGAGAGUAGUAGUACCGACCGCGGAGGUACGUUAACGUCGAAGAAGUUAGUAACGUUACGAAAGGAAGUUAGUUACGGCGUGAGACGAGCGACGGACGACGACGAGGGAGGAGGAG